UAGAUUCUCAAAUAUACGGCGCUUAAUUCA
rnacentral:piRNA from 1 species